CCAGCUUAUGUACCAGCAUUUGACAUAGGAGUAAAUGUAUUUCUACCAGAAAUUCCUCAUGAGAACUCAGCUAAACCAUUGCACCACCCUGCAGCUGAUAACAGCCUUUAGCAACCAACAGUAGAGAUUUUAUUUUUUUUUAUCCCCAAGGAUAGCAGUAUUUGUCCUCCUUUACUUUGCUGAUUUGUCCUUUACCAGCACUCCAGGAAAGCUGAAAUGAAGCUUGGCUCAUGGAUGUAGCUGAGGUGCACUUAGCAGCCCCAUGAUUCUCCCUGCAUCCAUCCUGAAUGCCAGCUCCAGAUGUGGGUGCCCUAAGAGACAUCUCAAACAUCUCUGAUGCCAGAUGUGACAGACCUGAAUCUGGGGAGCCUUCUCACCAUGACUGCUCAACAUCUCAUAUCAAGAGAAAAAUGUUGUGUCUACAGGGGCAGCAGCACCCAUACAAUCCUUAAUUAUACUUAAAUUUUUGCUUUCAGAGAGCCAAAAUACUUUAUCCACGAUGGGAGUAAUACAAUAAUGUUGUCCCUACUGAUUUUUCCUUUAUUCCAACUAUUUGCUAGCUGCCUUUCUCUGGAUAGAUUUGAAUGCUGUUAGUGACCUUGUGAAAACACUGUUGUCAUUACUAGAACCAGGUCAUAAAUACCCCUGGGCACAAUGAAAUGUCUCACCUGCAAUUCUUCAAAUAGUUUCCACUGCUGUUAAUACUUUGAGGUGUAUGAGGUCUCGCACACGUCUAUCCACUAAAUAGCUAUCACCUGCACACAAUAUUUUGGCAUCAAAUAUCUUCUACAUAGAAUUCAUAGAAGUCUUACUUGAGGAUUUAUCAAUGCACCAAAUUCCUGAUUUCCUGGAAUAGUUCAUCUAGAGGGAGAAAAAUCAGCUUCAAAUGGGAAACGGAACCUUUCCAAAGUUCAUUGGUGUUGGAGGUCAAGUUUUAGUUCAGCUCAUUACAGACACAGAUGUUAAAUUCAGAUUAGGAGUUACAUUUUGGAAAAGUUUAAGAUGUUUUGGGAUCUGUGGUUUUGGCCUAACCCUCUCUUUAAUCAAAAAUGACAUCCCUGGGCAAGAGAGUCUUCAGCUUUUUCGUACCUCUCAGAAACGUGCAUUCAGACAUACAGAAGCUAUUUCAGUCUUGAUGAGGUAACUCAGGUCAUGUUUAUUACCACAGCACAGUUGAAAAAUCUCCUCCUGUUCAGACAAAAACCCUCUUCCACACCCACAUUUCAUUUUUUGCCUACAACUUUUACAACUUUUUGGGGAGUGUUUUGUUUUAAUGAAAAAAAAACCAACCCAACACUGUUUCAUUAUGAUUGUCAAAUCAAAUACAUCACAUUCAAAGAAAAAAUUUAAGUGAAGACUUUCUGUUGUUUGUCAGCUGUGGCCUCUGUGAAAAUAGUGGUUACUACAAGUGAGAUGCUUUUGGAUGUGAAUAUUUUCCUUUGAGAUCUUUUUAAUUACUUCUAUGAGAAGCACAAUGACUGAAGUCAUGUUAAAUUUAGAAAACAGCUUCUUCAAGUCUCCGCAAGAAAUGCUUGCACACUCAUUCCUCAAUGCAGGUUUGUAUUUUGUUUAUCCCACUUAAAGGGCUGAAGAGUCCUAACGUACACCUUACGUGAAACACUAAGACACCAAUAUGGACCUGUGGAAAUACUUUCAUGUGGUAUCCCUGAAAGAUCUGACUCUGUGUGCUUUCACCUUCUGAAACUUUCUGAUCUGAAAGUGGUGCCUGGUCUCUUUGCACAGAGUUCAGAAUGCACUACAGAGAAGGGCACCAAAAGAGGGACUGCAGCAGAAAGCCAGCUUGUGCAGGUCAGGCCUCACUGCCUCACUGCUGUGCUGUUCUUCAGCCACCUGCCUUCAGAGCAAAGGCUGGGUUGUAUCCUUGUUUAAACAGAAAAAAAAACAGCAACAAAACAUCUUAUAUAGCAGUCAAUUUACAGGAUUGUAUUAUAAUCACAGCUAAAAAUCUGAUAAUCGUGAUGUACGAUGUAAACAGCAUUUAUGAGUACUUAUAAAAGUGAAUGUAGCUACUCAAUGUUAUUUCUUCCUAGCAGGUAAAUAAAACUUUCAUUUUAUAUGUGGGUGAACAAAAGACUUAGCCACAGCCAUGUGAAACCUGGAACUGACCCCAGACAUUCUCUGUCUAGCAUUACACAAGGUAGAAAAGGAAUUUACUAAAUAUAGUAUUUUCUGCCCAAUAUAUGUGCCAAACAACUGGAAAAAGAAGUUAAAAGGAUACACAUGAAAGCAAAAGAGUACCUCAACUACUUUAUGUAAAGAGAUGAGAGAAUUUAGUUUGAGUAAUUUCAGAACAAAAUGAUAUCAACAGAUUGGACAACAUUCAGAAGUGACCAACAAUGAUUCUGAGCUGGGGAGACUGAUUCAUAAAAGUAAAAUAAUACUGCUCAUUUGUACAUCUUGUUUUACCAAACAUAACAUCAGUGUUGGAAAGGGAUGGUUUAGUGGGGUAUAUGAAACAGCUAUAAUUAAAGGGAUGAGGUCAAGGAAACAAACGCCCCAGAUAGCAGGGAAAACUUUCUGACAGUGCUAUCUCUUAAGCUGCAACACUCUGCAAGGAGAAGUGAUUGAGGCCACAUCUCCUAGAAUGGUUGAAAUUAGAUUAGCCAAAGCACCAGAAAAUGCAGCACAAAAAGCAAUCCUGGCUUGGCAGGGGAGAGGACAGGAUUAGCAGAGGUCUUUCCUACGGUUACAGAGGAGCUGUUGUAGGGGUUCAGAGUUAUUUUUGCCUUUUACAACAACUGUUUGAUGAACGACUCCAUUAUUUCCCAGCUGUCAAUGAAUAAGAAGAAAGUGUUUCCCGUGGAGUAAAAUCUUUCCUGUAAGGUAAAGAAUCAACUGGAGAAAAAUGCCAAUGUCACAUUCCAGUGCUUCACUCCUUAUUGUGCUUGGCAUGUUGCUUCCUCUGUCCUACACAGCAAUUGGUCCAUACCAGGACAGAACCAGCCUGUUCUGUCUAAUAAAAUUUUAUUGCAUUGCUUUUCAAAAUAAUUUCUAUACUAGCACUCUGAAAGCCAGGAAGGCACACAGGCAAGAAAAAACAUGCUUACAACUCAUUAUGAGAAUAGUUGCACAAAAGAAUUUGACAAUGCAGCACAGUUUGUCACAUCAGUCUCGUUCCACUAAUUGUUCCUUUUUUUUAUUUAAUGAAGAACCAUCACCCUAAAAUAGACUGUUUCCAUAAGAAUGCACAGAAAUGAAAUUGAAAAUAAAAUCAUUAAGUCUUA